ensembl:lncRNA
UUGGAAGUCACUCUUAAUCAAAUCUGGCCCACUGAAAGAUGUGAAGGGGAACAUGGAUUUUGUGCUUCUCCGUUUAUUUUUAUAGGUUUUACAGCUUUUCCUACUGAUAAAGACUUCCAUGCCAUUCAUACUAUCCUAAGGAAAUGAAGUAAUAGAUGAACAUUAAAUUAAGAGAAUAUGAAAACCUUUUGGCUCAACAGUUUAGAAAAAAAAGAAUAAACAAAAACUUUAUUUUAGUAUUAUAGGACAGCCUGGCCAACAAGCUACCAUCAUUUUUUCAUUAGGACACUUUAUUUAUUAGAGAAAUAUUUAUUAUAUAUUUAUUUCUUACAGUUUAAGCCCUGCGAGUCAUGUUGACAGAUUUCUUUCUUUGUUACAGCAACAUUUCUUUAUCAUGUAGAAAAAAAAUGAGACAUACUGUUGAAAUUAUACUUGUUUUUUCUUAUACAAUGAUAUCUUAAGGAUUUAAUGUGUAGUUAAACUUCUUUGUGUUGACAGAAAAGAGAAUUUCAUUUGGUCUGGCCCACUUAAGAUCAACUUUGACAUACCCCAUGAAAUCCAUGCAGGAAAUACACUUACCAGACACCAGAAAGGCAAGACUGGGUUGGACUCAACCUUUUUCCCUCAGGAUGACCGCCAAAAGUGCUGUCAGGCCCGAUGAAGGCCUGAUGAUGAUGCAGGAGCUUGAUGACCGCCUGAAAGAGCAGAUUGACAAACUGGAGCAUGUUCGCCUUGGUGCUGUUGAACUGAAGGAUAACUUGUCUGGGAGCAACAGUGAUCUAAGCCAGUCUAUCAGUGACCAUUUGGAGUGGCUGAAUCACCUGUCUGAGCGAGUUGAGACUCUUCACAUGAACACCACUGUUUUUAUUCAGAUGAAUCCAAAACCUCGUGCAUGGGCAGGAAAACAGAGUUCCAAAUAUGGGUACCGCUGGGGUCGUCUCCACCAAGCAGAUGAUGCUCUGUCAGAGUGUGGCUGGUCCCCCAUUCGCACACGACGUGGCAGCGAUGCGGCCUCUGAAAUGUCCUGUAAUUGGUGACCGUUUAACCAGCUCCAUAUGUCAGCUGAGGUUUCAAAAUAACAUGACAAUGCUUCACAUUUUGUUAUAGCUAUAGUUUUCAUGCAUUUAAUACUUUAAUGUGGUUUUCUUCUGGUGUGUACUAUGUUACUGAACACCCUGUAUUGUUAAUAAAACCAUGGCUUUUGAUUUUUAUUUUGUAA